CCAUUGGGAGUCAGAGGCAGAAAGCAAAAGCAAGAAAACCCACAACAACAUGCCCAAUUGCUGCUGAAAGAACAGGCAAGGGGCUCGCUCCACUGCGAGACUUUGGAGGGCGUUUAUAGAUGUCUGCACCUCCGAGAAGCUGGUCGGAGCCUCUAGGUUUGGGUGUGAUGGAGCUUUCAGAUGCACGGCAUGGCAAAGCUCUAGCGCAGAGGAAGAAGAAGAGCCAUACAAGCACUUGAGCUCUCAUCUCUGGAGAGAUCUAAAACCAGGUAGAUUAUGUUGAUGAGCUUCAGCAUUAGAUAAGGAGUUAAUAUAUACAGAGAUGCUUUGGAAUAAUAUAGUGUGAAAAUAUGUAUUGAAAGGAAAGAACAACCCAAACAAAGCUAAAGUUAAAAUGUGUAAAGUGGCAAAACUGACCGGAGAAUUAGGUUCCA